rnacentral:rRNA from 1 species
UACGUAGGUGGCAAGCGUUGUCCGGAUUUAUUGGGUUUAAAGGGUGCGUAGGCGGUCUAUUAAGUCAGCGGUGAAAUACUCCAGCUUAACUGGAGGGGUGCCAUUGAUACUGAUGGACUUGGGUCAAGUCGAGGUAGGCGGAAUUGACGGUGUAGCGGUGAAAUGCUUAGAUAUCGUCAAGAACACCAAUAGUGAAGACAGCUUACUGGGCUUAAACUGACGCUGAGGCACGAAAGUGUGGGGAUCAAACAGG